rnacentral:lncRNA from 1 species
CCGCUCUCCCCACCCGGUACCAGGACCCACCCGGGCCCGCGCUCCCUGCGGCUUCCAGGGACCCUCCAGCCCCCACGCACCCUCCUGCAAAGCCGAGGGUUAAGCUGGGGAAAGGGGGCCUCUAGGAAGGCGACCCCCCUGGAAAUGCCUGGCAGCUCCAAAAACACUAAUGAAACUCAGCUCCAGCCUCCGCCCCUCCAGUUGUGGGUGGCCCCUCUUGCGGUUCGUCUGAGGCUAGGGGACUAGGCGCAUCGCCUAGCGAGACUCCAGUGGCCUUUUCUGUCCAGUUUGUAACCGGAACUAGACCGACCCCGGCCGCCCCCUCCAGUGCUGGGGCGGGUGAGGAAUGGCCCCGCCGGGGAGGCGGGGGAGGGAGGCCUGGGCCACCCUGGGGUCUGACCUUUGCUCCACCUCUUAGGUGCUCACGACCCAGAGUGGUGCCCUGCUUGGUACUGCCACUGGAUCCUCUGGCUUAUGAAGCCGUCCAGGACAGGAAGGGUGGGGGGUGGUCCUUAGUUCUCUUCGUGGGGUCAUGCAGAGUGGUUUCCUCGAGGUCCCACGCCCGUCUCAGGAAGCCAGAAACGCAAGAUGCCGGGCGCUCGGCCCGAACCCGUGCCGCGGCCCAAGGGGCAAGGCGGAUACCGAGGCAAGGCCUAAAGGGCCGGACUCUGACCGCACCCUCCGGACACUGCAGGGCUCCGCCGGCCAGAGGCGGCCUUGGCGCCAACCACACCUAGCAGCGGGGUCCCCGGGCCCACCGAUGCGCCCUCCUAGCCCCGCGCUCCUUCGAGGGGUUCCAAGGUGACUCAGAGACGCAGCUGACACAAUUCUGAGGCCCCCAGGUAAGCCUGGCGAUACCGGAUGGAGAAGUUACCUGGUCUUGAAAGGCCCAGUCCAGCCAGCGAGACCCGCGUGCGCUCCGCGGGGAGGCAAGCCUAACCAGGGGCUCACCUGGAAGCGUCCCCGCCCCCUGGUCCUUAUCUCUGAAUCGAAACCGAACCUGGACCCAUCUAGAUAAUUGGACUGAGCAAUUAAGGACGCUUCGCUCCUAACUGUUAGCAUUUUUUCCUAAGGCUCUCGGAGGCGGAAUCAGCUGGAAAGGAACAUUGCUAAGUAGGAAUUUCAGGCACCUGUGAACUGAGCCCACUCAAUAAUCGGCCCUUUCCCUUAACCAAACUCAGCAAAGGAAGAAAGACCAAGUUGCUGCGGAUGCACAGAGCCACGUGGGUGCGGGUCCUCUAGAAACAGGAAUUCAGAGUCAGUAGAUAUGGAAAUGUUAUGGUUUGCAGUCUUCGGACCAUGCUGCUUUCAUGCUGUUCACAUGAUUCUCCUCGGACUGCGAGGAUGGAAUUACUUCAGUAUAUUUAAAUGCAAAUAAGGAGGAUCCCACAGAGAAGAGGAAGAUGAAGGUACAGUAGAGAAAGGACAAUGGAGCACAAAGGCUCCUGUGCCCAUGGGAGGGAUGGACCAGAGUGUGGGUGGAAAGGCUGAUCUGAGGCAGGGGCCACCUUCUGUAUUAUAACAGGAGGAAGGAGGCUGGAGGAGGACUGAGCCAGGCUGCCAUCACAGAGAUAGUUGAAUCUUUCCACCUGAUGAUUUCCUCUUAACUCUGUGACAUAAAGGAGGCUAGCAAUAGGGCAAGGAGAGAUGACAGAUUUGAAGAGAGUGGAGAAGGUAUGACAGUCACUGCAGGAGUUUGGGAGGGUCGUGAUGACCAGAGAAACAGCCAGAUAGCAAGGCAGCAUGGCAGUCCACUUGAGGCUGGUGCCUGUGAACUUUUAAGGUGCGCUUUGGCCCUCCUGUGUGGUUUCUUCCAACAGCUCAGCUGCCCACUGUGGUGCCAGCUCAAAUGAGGAAAUUACCAGGGCAGAGGAGCAAAGGAAUUGAGAGCUUUGGCAAAGGUGAGGUGGCACGGUGAAUGAUCAGAGAGAAAGGACAGGAGCCAAAGGACUGGAAAAGUCAAGGAGUCAAGACCAAGUCACACCAGAAGGAGAGGAAUUGGGUCAGAGAUCUGGAUCUGAAGUAAGGAGUUCAGGAGGUGGAGAAGUUUAGGGCCAUGACAAUGCCAGGACAUGAUGGGGAGGCAUAGAGGAGAAAGUCAUUGGAGAAUAUGAGGUCAAGAGAUUAAGAGGGCACUGGAUAGGUCCUCUGUGUGAACAGGAAAGCCAUCCAGGAUGUGAGGAGGAAUGGCAGUUAUGGUGUGAAGGCCAUGGAGCCAGGAGCUAAAGUUUUAAGAGAGUGGGCAAGAGGGAAUGACCAGGAGAGCAGAAGAUAAAAAGCACCAGGCAAGGGACAGGCACUAUGGCUGGGCAACAGUCUCCCCAAAGGAACAACAGCAUUUAUGGGACGUGGAGGAGAAGUGAUCAGGUAGGGGAACAAUUAGUCAGGGUUGGGAAAGUCUGGGAGGCUUCCUGGAGAAGGUGGAGUGGAAGGCAUCCAGACUGCUCAUUUAUCCUGAGAACAUUUGUGAAUGUGCCCAUUUCUUUGUGGCUGUGAAGACUGUUGAUCUGACAGUCUGAAGAGGGUCUAUAAAAAGUUUCUAGGUCAUAGAUUUCUCCCUUGGCACUCCUGCUUCCCAGCGUGUUGUCACUCCUGUAGCCCUGCCACCUCUCAGUCACACUCAUGUGCUCCUCCGAGGUGGACAGGCAGCCCAGACUACACAGUGAAUCCUGUGUGCUUUGCCCUGGGCCUCUCAUGUCUGGCUUUUCCAUGUCACUCCUUCUUCUUUUCUUUUUUUCUUUCUUUCAUUCUUUCUUUUUCUCUUUCUCUCUCUCUCUCUUUCUUCUUCUUUUUUUUUUUUUCCCCAGGCUGGAGUACAGUGGUACAAUCUCAACUCACUACAACCUCUGCCUCCCAGGGUUAAGUGAUCCUCCCACCUCAGCCUCCCAAGUAGCUGGGAUUACAAGCAUGCACCACCACGCCCAGCUAAUUUUUGUAUUUUUAGUAGAGAUGGCAUUUCACCUUGAUGGCCACACUGGUCUCGAAAUCCUGAUCUCAAGUGAUCCACCUGCCUUGGCCUCCCAAAGUGCUGGGAUUACAGGCACGAGCCACAGCAUCCGGCCUUGUCACCCAUUUUUCUGGUGAGGAAACGGGCUGAUCUUCAGCAAGUUUCCUGUGUCCCCUUUGGUGCCAGCAUCCACCUGGUAUUUUUGCCCAGCCAGACUGCAAGCUUUUGAGCAAGCAGACCUGAAUGCCCCUCCUUCUCAGCCUUCAAGGUCUGCGGUUUGCCUCACUUCACCUGGCCAGCCUAGGACACCUUCAUGCCCACAGAGCCACAGCCCUGGUCUACACCCACCUCCUUUGUUCUUUACUGCCUCUGCCUCACUAACCAGGAGCACCCCAACAACCUGCCAUUCAGGUACAGACCCCAUGGAGAUGCCACCCUGGAACUCAAACAUCUAUAAGCCCAGAGCUGGCUUCCACCUUCUUGGUUCUGUUGGAACCAACUCCUGCAGCCCUUUGGACAUGGUUCAGAAUGAAAGCCUUCUUCCUCGGUGGCAAACCCCAUGGCCAGAUGGGUGCCUGAGCCCUGUAUCUCCCUCCUCCUUUCAGCACAGAUCUAGAAAAGUUCCCAGCCUGUCUAAGGGCCAGGCACACACAGAUAGCAUCAGCAGCAGAAAUCCCCAAACUUUGUAUAUCCUCCAACUUAGGUUGUCACAGAAGGAUGGCAAUGUUUCCUAGUCUGUUAAUCAGUCCCAAGUGGAAUUAUGAAAACAACAACCACCUCUCUCAAUGGCUAAAAUAUUAAUUAUUGAUGGAAAGUGUGGAAGCUUGGCACUGGAAUUCUUAGAAUUCUACUCCAAUCCCUUGGAACUGGCAAAUGAGGCCCCAAAAGUAGCUUUCUGGAAGCCAAAUACCUAAUACCAGAGAUAAUAUCUUGAACGUUGGACAAUUAAAUCACAGGUUAAAAAUCACCUGGCUCUUAAAGCAGGUCCUUUGCUCCGAAGGUUACUAUGACUUUGGACUUUGUAACAGUUGAAAAACAGCCUCAUUAUCAGAUGCAGAUAUAGAAACAAAUGUAAUGAUUCCCAGGGGACUUGCUCCAUAUUCCAGAGUCCUGAUGCUGAAAGAACUUAAAAUUCCCAGGUUAGUAAAGUCCAGCGUGUAUAGGACAUUGUGGUGGUACCUAUGGUCAACAAUUUGGAGGGGCAUGAACAGCUGUCUCUAUUACGGUCAUCAUAUUGUUUUGGGAAUAGAAUUCUCAGUAAGGAGAAAUGCAAAAUCAUAGUCUUAAUUAUCAUCAAACUGAAAAAUUAUAUUCAAGACGAGAGGCCCAUAAUGGCAGCAUCAAGCAUGAGACAGUGCCAUUAAUAUGAUUAUCAGGACAUAAGCCUAUUAGAGAACUUAAUGCCUUUUUGCUGGCAUCGCCCUUUGUUAUGCUUCUCAGGGUUUAGAAACCAUCUCAGUUGUAAACAUAACUGUUACAAAACAGUGAUUUCCAGGGGGCAUAACAAAGAUCUGCCCACCUUUACCAAAGAUCAAAGCUGCCUGGCUAUGGAGAAAGAGAAUAUUUUUAGAAAAUGAAGACCAAUCUCCCAACUCUAGGUGGCUCUUAUUGAGAAAGGAAGAAAGGGAGUGUAUCUCGCUCCAAGUCUUGCUUUGUGGCAAUCCAGUUGUGGACAUGAUUGUGAGGUUUAACCACCACAUGGAGAUAUGCAUGCAACAACUCAGAUGGAUACAGUGGCCUAGGUCUUGGCUGCUGCUAGUGAAAAACCAUGGUAUGGAAAUCCCCAAUUCCAGGUUCAACUCCCACCUUGGGAAGAAGCCAAGUGUGGUCCACAUGGGAACAGUAACAUCUAAAGAGUUCUCAGGAAGAGGAAAUUAGGUCAUUUAUGGCCAAGUACCUGCAAACAUUUGGGGCUUAAUAAAUGUUUGUUUCCCUCCUCAGUCUUGGCCAUGGAACCAAGUCCCCAUCAGGAUAAAGUAUGAGUGGUAUCUUGGCAUAGAAUGCUUCGCAUUCUCAACAUUUGUCCUGGGCCCUCCACUGGAGGAACUGCCAUUCUGUCCUCAUUCCAAAGGGUUCUGACGCCAUCAUCAUCAAUAUAAUCAUGUAGAAUGGAAAAAUCAAUUGGCUGUCCCUGGAAGGAGCCACCUGCUUGAUCUUUAGGAUCCAGUGACUUACGAAACUCACUUGGCAAAAUCGUCUUACAGCAAAACCAUUGCCAGGAAGGGCAGGGCCUCCUCCUCAAACACGACAGUCGGCAGUCAGGGAAAUCAGAGAGCAACAGAUCCCAUAAAUAGUCUGAAAGGGAAGCAGGAUCCAUGCGACAGCACAGAUGAAUCUUCCAACAUUACGCUGAGAGAAAGAAGUCAUACGCAAGUACAAGUGAAGUUUAAGAACAGGCAAGAACUUAUCUAUGGUGGCAGAAAUCAGAACUCGAGUUGCUUCUGGGAUAAAGAGAGAAUUAACUGGAAAAAAAAGCAUGAGGGAAUUUUCUG